rnacentral:rRNA from 1 species
AGUGAACGCUGGCGGUAGGCCUAACACAUGCAAGUCGAACGGCAGCACAGUAAGAGCUUGCUCUUACGGGUGGCGAGUGGCGGACGGGUGAGGAAUACAUCGGAAUCUACUUUUUCGUGGGGGAUAACGUAGGGAAACUUACGCUAAUACCGCAUACGACCUACGGGUGAAAGCAGGGGAUCUUCGGACCUUUCGCGAUUGUAUUAGCCGAUGUCGGAUUAGCUAGUUGGCGGGGUAAAGGCCCACCAAGGCGACGAUCCGUAGCUGGUCUGAGAGGAUGAUCAGCCACACUGGAACUGAGACACGGUCCAGACUCCUACGGGAGGCAGCAGUGGGGAAUAUUGGACAAUGGGCGCAAGCAUGAUCCAGCCAUACCGCGUGGGUGAAGAAGGCCUUCGGGUUGUAAAGCCCUUUUGUUGGGAAAGAAAAGCAGCAGGUUAAUACCCCGCUGUUCUGACGGUACCCAAAGAAUAAGCACCGGCUAACUUCGUG